GAGAGUAAAAUAGUACGUGAAAUUGUUGAAAGGGAAACGAUUGAAGUCAGUCGUACCGACGAGAAAUCAGCUCUUCGAGUGCGAACUUGUGGGCGUUCGUGAGUCUUUAACGGGCCUCGCUGUUUGCAAUGUUUGUGCUUCUUGGGUGUACUUGCCCGUGUGGUUGGUUAACAUCAAUUUUGGUGGUCAUAAAAUGACUGGGGGAAUGUAGCUUCGAUCUUGUAUUGAAGUGUUAUAGCCUUCGGUAGAUGUGGUGAUCGAGAUUGAGGAUUGCAACGGAUACCUUUCGGGGCUACCUGUCUGAUCUCUGAUCGUUGCUUUGGUGCUGAAAGCGUGCUUAUAGUUAUCAAAGUCGAUGGUUAAUAGGUUAGAAUGGGUUAAAUUCGUUAAGGAUGUUGACGUAAUGGCUUUAAACGA
rnacentral:rRNA from 1 species